UGCACCACACCCACUGAUAGUGUAUUCAGUAUAACCCGCUGUGUUGGCAGGUGUGUUAUGCACUUUACACUGUGCACUGCUCGUCUCUGGUCCCGAAAAUACCAACAGUCACAAGCCGCACCCGGUGCACCAUGUCACACCUUAAUAGCAAAGUAAAACUGCACCACAACUACAGGAAAGGCUCAAUGCAACAAGAGAGACACCAGUUUUUCCAGUGAAACAGUGGCUAUGAUCUGCUGGCCUAAAAUGUUGUGUAUCUGCAAAAAAGCCCUUGCUGCACACUAUUAACAAGAAAAGACUCCAGUGGGCCAAGCACCAUCAAUACUGGACCAAGAAAGUUUGGUAAAAGGCAUAUAUAUAUAUAUAUAUAUAUAUAUAUAUAUAUAUAUAUAUAUAUAUAUAUAUAUAUAUAUAUAUAUA